CACGUAGGCACCAAGCGUUGUCCGGAUUUAUUGGGCGUAAAGAGCUCGUAGGCGGUUCGGUAAGUCGGGUGUGAAAACUUUGGGCUUAACCCAAAGCGUGCAUUCGAUACUGCUGUGACUUGAGUUCGGUAGGGGAGUGGGGAAUUCCUAGUGUAGCGGUGAAAUGCGCAGAUAUUAGGAGGAACACCGGUGGCGAAGGCGCCACUCUGGGCCGAAACUGACGCUGAGGAGCGAAAGCAUGGGUAGCAAACAGG
rnacentral:rRNA from 1 species